rnacentral:rRNA from 1 species
GAACGGGCACUUCGGUGUCAGUGGCAGACGGGUGAGUAACACGUGGGAACGUACCCUUUGGUUCGGAAUAACCCUGGGAAACUAGGGCUAAUACCGGAUACGGCCGAGAGGCGAAAGGUUGACCGCCGAAGGAUCGGCCCGCGUCCGAUUAGCUUGUUGGUGAGGUAAUGGCUCACCAAGGCUUCGAUCGGUAGCUGGUCUGAGAGGAUGACCAGCCACAUUGGGACUGAGACACGGCCCAA